rnacentral:rRNA from 2 species
UGAGUAAUGCCUAGGAAUCUGCCUGGUAGUGGGGGAUAACGUUCGGAAACGGACGCUAAUACCGCAUACGUCCUACGGGAGAAAGCAGGGGACCUUCGGGCCUUGCGCUAUCAGAUGAGCCUAGGUCGGAUUAGCUAGUUGGUGGGGUAAUGGCUCACCAAGGCGACGAUCCGUAACUGGUCUGAGAGGAUGAUCAGUCACACUGGAACUGAGACACGGUCCAGACUCCUACGGGAGGCAGCAGUGGGGAAUAUUGGACAAUGGGCGAAAGCCUGAUCCAGCCAUGCCGCGUGUGUGAAGAAGGUCUUCGGAUUGUAAAGCACUUUAAGUUGGGAGGAAGGGCAGUUACCUAAUACGUAUCUGUUUUGACGUUACCGACAGAAUAAGCACCGGCUAACUCUGUGCCAGCAGCCGCGGUAAUACAGAGGGUGCAAGCGUUAAUCGGAAUUACUGGGCGUAAAGCG